GGCCGCCUGGCGAAAUGGCAUCGCGUCUGACUACGAUGUUGUGAACACGUAUGACGAAUGUAAUCAGGAGAUUGCAGGUUCGACCCCUGCGGUGGUCA